GCAAUUUUUUCAACACAAGUGGUUUGUCUAUUAAGGUAUUCAAGUGAUUCAUGCCAAUAUGUGAAAUAUGCAAUCUAUUUCCAUUGCCAACUACAAUUUUUUCCUUACCAGUGUACUCACUUGCUGAAUUUAUGUUUUCCAUUUCUGCAGUGACAUGGUUACUGGCUCCUGUGUCUGCAAACCAGGCAGGGUCACUUACAGUGUUGGGAGCUGCCAUAAGGACUGUUGGUGAUGAGCUAUAGCUACUUCCCUGGUUUGGUGGUUUUCCUGUAUAGCGUUCAUCAUAUCUAAAAUUGCAGAUAUUUGCCUUGUGUCCAAUUUUGCCACAUACUUGACAGACAGGUUUUUCACUGAUGUUGAAGCCGCCACCACCACCUCUGUAUCUGCCUCUUCUUCCUCCUCUGUUGAAUCUGCCGCCAUUAUUUGGCCUGUAGGCUCUGAAGUGAUGGUUGCUUAAUCCUGGUUUUUGGGUAAAAUUGAUUGAUGUUUGAUUGAGGUUAAUUUCUGCCAUUUCAUUUUUCACCAAAUUGAGAUGUUCAAGUCUGCUUUCAUAAGUCAUGAGUGUUGAUUGGAGUUCUCCUCAAGAGAUGGAGUCUCUGCCAUUGAUUUGAACAACAAUGGGUGUGUAUUCUUCAUCCAAACCAGCCAGGACCUAAGUUACAAGAUCCGAGUGAGGGAUGGUUUUUCCAGCAAUCUCAAGGUUGUCUGCCAGAAGUUUUACUUUGCUGAGGUAUUGAUCGAUGCUCAAUGUUCCCUUCCUUGAUUUCUGAAGUUCCCCAGUGAGAAAUGUUAUUCUGGAUUUGUUUUGGAUGCCAUAGCUCUCUUUUAAUGCAGCCCACAAUUUGCUGGAGUUGCUGCAGCCCAUGACCCUCAUAGCUAUUUCAGGGGUCAUUGAUGAGUAAAGCCACCCCAUUAGCAGCUGAUCUGUUGACAUCCACUGAUCAUAUUCAGGAUUCUUUUUCAUCUCAACCAUCAUUCCUGCAUCUCCAGAGAUUUUGGUACCAAUGAAUUCUGGAGGACACACCUUUGUCCCCAGAAUGUAUCCAUCUAGAUUAUGUCCUCUUAUAAUAGGGAGUAUCAUGUUUUGCCAUAGCAGAAAGUUGUUCUUGUCAAGCUUGACAGACAACAUUUGAGUUAGGUAGACACCAGAUGAUGAGAAAUGGUUGCUUCCCUGCACUGGAGGCACCAUUGUGCUUGAUUCUGAUGAUGGAGAAGGAUUGGAAUUGGUAUUUAGUGGUGUAUCAUUGACGUUGGCCAUUGUAGGCUCUGAUACCAAGUUGAAAUUGUAAUCUAUAUUUACUUGUAUUUUCAAUACACAAUUUACAGCAGCUUCAGUUGAAGGGAAUUUAUACACGUUAUUGAGCUUGGAGAAUAAGUUACAAGAGUAUUCUAGAAUACACAGCUGUAGCAAUUUCCUUGAAUCAUGGGCUGUGGCUGGAAUCCAUUAAUAACAGAAUUUCUGCAGCACAAUCUGGUGUUGUUGGUGUAACAGAAAUGGCUGAUAAGCUGAUAAAUCAAUAGGCAAGAUAAGUUCAUUAGCUGAUUAGGUGAUGAGCUGUAGGUUGGCUUAUCUUUACAAG
rnacentral:lncRNA from 1 species